rnacentral:rRNA from 1 species
AUUGAACGCUGGCGGCAGGCUUAACACAUGCAAGUCGAGCGGAGAUGAGGUGCUUGCACCUUAUCUUAGCGGCGGACGGGUGAGUAAUGCUUAGGAAUCUGCCUAUUAGUGGGGGACCACAUUCCGAAAGGAAUGCUAAUACCGCAUACGUCCUACGGGAGAAAGCAGGGGAUCUUCGGACCUUGCGCUAAUAGAUGAGCCUAAGUCGGAUUAGCUAGUGGGUGGGGUAAAGGCCUACCAAGGCGACGAUCGGUAGCGGGGCUGAGAGGAUGAUCCGCCACGCUGGGACUGAGACACGGCCCAGACUCCUACGGGAGGCAGCAGUGGGGAAUAUUGGACAAUGGGGGGAACCCUGAUCCAGCCAUGCCGCGUGUGUGAAGAAGGCCUUAUGGUUGUAAAGCACUUUAAGCGAGGAGGAGGCUACUGAGACUAAUACUCUUGGAUAGUGGACGUUACUCGCAGAAUAAGCACCGGCUAACUCUGUGCCAGCAGCCGCCGUAACAC